GGGUGUUAAAACUUUUUAGUCAAAUUUCCCAGUCAUUAUAUCAUCUGUUGAAAAUAGCUUUGAAAAGCUUGAUCCUAUUUAACUGGAUUAAGUCUUGGCUUACUUAAGCUUCAUGUCCCAGUAGUUCCUUUCUAGUUUAUUUAGGGUAAAUAUAGAUCACUGUUAUAGGAUCUUGGAUCUUCCCUUAAGUGUUAUUAGUAAUUUAGUAAGUGUGCAGAGGUGAUGCUAUUUAGAAUAUUAAUCCUGAUCACAUGAUCAUUCCAAUACCAGGACAAAUGGCUGAAAAGAUUAGAAUUCCUGGGCCAGCUACUUCCUUUGAGUACAUGCUUUUUGAUGGAGAUCCUGACCACCUUAGAACAGUUGUUGCUACGCCUACCCAAAUUUCACCAUGGAUUGAAGCAGCUGAAUUGAAACUAAAGCACAGGAUUGGACGUGGCAUCUAUGGUGAUGUUUGGUUGGCAACACAUCAUCAGUCAGCUGAUGAUUUUGAGGAGUAUCAUGAAGUGGCUGUUAAGAUAUUGCAUCCCUUGAAGGGGGACCUCACACAAAUGUUUGUGGACAAAUUUGAAAGGAUAUUUUUGAGGUGUCGAGAAAUGCAAGGUGUUGGUUGGUUGCAUGGUGUCUCAGUUAUGAAUGGACAGAUCUGUAUUGCAAUGAAAUUUU
rnacentral:misc_RNA from 1 species